rnacentral:rRNA from 1 species
UACGUAGGCAGCAAGCGUUGUUCGGAGUUACUGGGCGUAAAGAGUGCGUAGGCGGUUCCGUAAGUUUGUUGUGAAAUCUCCCGGCUUAACUGGGAGGGUGCGGCGAAAACUGCGGGGCUGGAGUGUGGGAGAGGUAGGCGGAAUUCCUGGUGUAGCGGUGAAAUGCGUAGAUAUCAGGAGGAACACCUGUGGCGAAAGCGGCUCACUGGACCAUAACUGACGCUGAGGCGCGAAAGCUAGGGGAGCAAACAGG